AACGAACGCUGGCGGCAUGCCUAACACAUGCAAGUCGAACGAGACCUUCGGGUCUAGUGGCGCACGGGUGCGUAACGCGUGGGAACCUGCCCUUAGGUUCGGAAUAACUCCCCGAAAGGGGUGCUAAUACCGGAUAAUGUCUUCGGACCAAAGAUUUAUCGCCUUUGGAUGGGCCCGCGUUGGAUUAGCUCGUUGGUAGGGUAAAAGCCUACCAAGGCGACGAUCCAUAGCUGGUCUGUGAGGAUGAUCAGCCACACUGGGACUGAGACACGGCCCAGACUCCUACGGGAGGCAGCAGUGGGGAAUAUUGGACAAUGGGCGAAAGCCUGAUCCAGCAAUGCCGCGUGAGUGAUGAAGGCCUUAGGGUUGUAAAGCUCUUUUACCCGGGAUGAUAAUGACAGUACCGGGAGAAUAAGCCCCGGCUAACUCCGUG
rnacentral:rRNA from 1 species